UACGAAGGGGGCUAGCGUUGUUCGGAAUUACUGGGCGUAAAGGGCGCGUAGGCGGUUUGAAUCGUCGGAUGUGAAAGGCCUGGGCUCAACCUGGGAACGGCGUCCGAUACGGUCAGACUUGAGUGUGGGAGAGGUUGGUGGAAUUCCCAGUGUAGAGGUGAAAUUCGUAGAUAUUGGGAAGAACACCGGUGGCGAAGGCGGCCAACUGGACCACAACUGACGCUGAGGCGCGAAAGCGUGGGGAGCAAACAGG
rnacentral:rRNA from 1 species